rnacentral:rRNA from 1 species
AGUGCCUAGCACAUGCAUGAUCGAACGUGUUGGUAGCAAUACCAAUAGUGGCGCACGGGUGCGUAACACGUAACUAACCUGCCCAGGACUGGGGGAUAGCUCGCCGAAAGGCGGAUUAAUACCGCAUAAUACUACUGAGUGGCAUCACUUGGUAGUUAAAUCUACGGAGGUCUUGGAUGGGGUUGCGGGUCAUUAGCUAGUUGGUCAGGUAACGGCUUACCAAGGCGACGAUGACUAGGGGAGCUGAGAGGCUGGUCCCCCACACGGGCACUGAGAUACGGGCCCGACUCCUACGGGAGGCAGCAGUAGGGAAUAUUGGGCAAUGGGCGAGAGCCUGACCCAGCCAUGCCGCGUGCAGGAAGAAGGCUUUCUGAGUCGUAAACUGCUUUUGACAGGGAAGAAUAAGCUGUACGUGUACAGUGAUGACGGUACCUGCAGAAUAAGCACCGGCUAACUCCGUGCCAGCAGCCGCGGUAAU